GACGAACGCUGGCGGCGUGCUUAACACAUGCAAGUCGAACGGAAAGGCCCUGCUUUUGUGGGGUGCUCGAGUGGCGAACGGGUGAGUAACACGUGAGUAACCUGCCCUUGACUUUGGGAUAACUUCAGGAAACUGGGGCUAAUACCGGAUAGGAGCUCCUGCUGCAUGGUGGGGGUUGGAAAGUUUCGGCGGUUGUGGAUGGACUCGCGGCUUAUCCGCUUGUUGGUGGGGUAGUUGCUUACCAAGGCUUUGACGGGUAGCCGGCCUGAGAGGGUGACCGGCCACAUUGGGACUGAGAUACGGCGCAGACUCCUACGGGAGGCAGCAGUGGAGAAUAUUGCACAAUGGGCGGAAGCGUGAGGCAGCAACGCCGCGUGCGGGAUGACGGCCUUCGGGUUGUAAACCGCUUUCGCCUGUGACGAAGCGUGAGUGACGGUAAUGGGUAAAGAAGCACCGGCUAACUACGUG
rnacentral:rRNA from 1 species